rnacentral:rRNA from 1 species
AUAGCGUAUAUUAAAGUUGUUGCAGUUAAAAAGCUCGUAGUUGAAUUUCGGGAUCAAUAUGUUGGUCGUACCAUUGGUACGUACUGGCAUUAUUGAUUCCUACCUUCUGAAGAAUCUUGAUGUCAUUAAUUUGGUGUCUUGGGAAAUCAGGACUGUUACUUUGAAAAAAUUAGAGUGUUUAAAGUAGGCUCGCGCUUGAAUACAUUAGCAUGGAAUAAUGAAAUAGGACGUUUGAUUCUAUUUUGUUGGUUUCUAGGAUCGAUGUAAUGAUUAAUAGGGAUAGUUGGGGGCAUUAGUAUUCAAUUGUCAGAGGUGAAAUUCUUGGAUUUAUUGAAGACUAACUACUG